ACCAAAUAAUUUAGUUGCUAAAAGCCAUUGGCGACUAAAAAUUGACUUUUGGCGACUAAAAAUUUAGUCGCCAAUAGUGAAAAUUCUUAUAGUGUCUGUAUUGUUUAAUCUUCUGUGCAGCUUGUAGAAAAGUUUGGGAUUGACCCUAAUAAUGCUUUUGCGUUCUGGGAUUGGGUUGGUGGUCGACAUAGUGUUUGCAGCGCUUUUGGAGUGUUACCUUUAUCUCUCCAAUAUGGAUUCACAGUUGUUGAGAAGUUCCUGAAAGGAGCUUCAAGCAUUGAUCAACACUUCUAUUCAGCACCGUUGGAGCUAAA